ACUCCUACGGGAGGCAGCAGUGGGAAUAUUGCACAAUGGGAAAGCCAUCGAUGCAGCCAUGCCGCGUGUGUGAAGAAGGCCAAUUCGGGCUUGGUUAAAGAACUUUUCAGUAGGGAGGAAGGUAGUGUAGUUAACACCUGCAUUAUUUGACGUUACCUACAGAAGAAGCACCGGCUAACUCCGUGCCAGCAGCCGCGGUAAUACGGAGGGUGCGAGCGUUAAUCGGAAUUACUGGGCGUAAAGCGCAUGCAGGCGGCCUGUUAAGUCAGAUGUGAAAGCCCGGGGCUUAACCUCGGAAUUGCAUUUGAAACUGGCAGGCUAGAGUCUUGUAGAGGGGG
rnacentral:rRNA from 1 species